UCUUCUUCCAAUUUUGUUGAUGUAAAUGGCAUGGCAUUUUCUGCAGGACAUGCAGUAAACCAUGUUCUCUAGGCCUGUCUGAAGAAGUUGAAGAAAUAAGAUCACAAGGAUUAGUCAUCUAUAGAAGAUUCCAGAUGAUUCACACAGGUGUAUCAACAGAUAAUUAAACAAAGUGAGAAGAGUGCUGAUUUCAUUUCGACAUAAGACUUUAAUAUGAAAUUCAAACAAGC
rnacentral:lncRNA from 1 species